rnacentral:lncRNA from 1 species
GUUAAUAUAGCAAAUGAUUCUGUAUAGUUAAUAUGACCAGACUUACACUUACACUAUGAGCAGAAUUGGGCACUUCUCUAGAGAGCACAAGAGCUGACUGGAGAAAACGAUUGUGCCUGCAUGUUAAGGUAUUCACAUUUAAGACUAUCAAACAUUGUUAAUUAAAUCAGGUCCCACAAUAUUUAUAGGAAGUUUUUUUGCAAUGUUUAUGUGAGUUUCUAUUAUGUCUAUUAGAUCUAGGUAGAGUCUGAUAUAUCUUAGUAUUAAGUUAAAAGGUAUAUGUAUAUAUCAUACGACAUGACAAGGACACCAAAUAAGGCGAUGGCAUUGAUGGUAGCCCCUUGGCCAUUGAGCUUGAGUAUAAACAUGCCCUUGAGUACAUCAAAUGCUGUAGGCUUUACUUGAGCCGUUUCAGCAAAACAAACAAUCGGCCAUUAUCAGUACAAGCACUCUAAUUAAGAUCUCCAGCUUCCUCACCUAUCCAUUUACGUGCCAAAUCAAAUUGUUAGAAAAUAUAAGCACUUUGGGAAUUACACUCAAGUUGUAAAAGGUUAAAUAUUUUUGUGUGAGAUAAAAUUAAUUCCGUAAAAUGUAAAAUAUCCCCAAAAUAAUUUAAAAAAUAUUUAAAUUAAUGGGGUUGUGAAGGCAAGAGUGGAAGUAGCUAGAAGUGACAAACUAAUUAAAAAGUGAGGAGCAGUCUAUUUAUGACUCAAAUCUUAGAAGUCAUCGUUUCUAUACGCAUGGUAAGAAAUUAAUACAAUAUUUUAUUUUCAAUAAAAUUGAACUCGCCAGUCAAGUUUAUAUGAAAAAAAAUAAAAUUUAUGUAAUGGAAGUUGAAAAUAGAAAAUCUUAGUUGAAAAUAUUUAGUUUACUAUUUCUAGACCAAAAACUAAAAGAAAGUGACUCAGCACACAAGCAUUAAAACAAAAUAAAAGAACACAAAUUCAAACACAUCUCAGAGAAUUUUUUGAGAGGUGAAAAAUGAAAAUAAACAUUCAAAUGAAACUGAUAGUUAUAAACAGUUAGGAUGACAACUGGUAAAAUUAUAAACUAAAAGAUGAUACAAGUUUAGUUUACAUCUAAUAUAAUAUAAGUUACCCCAAAAGUAGAAUUAAGUAAACAAGAAGUUGUUGUUUUAUGAAUGCUUCAACUUCCUUAAAUUUGCUAUCUUCUUCCUUGAUUUUAAUUUUUUAUCCUUAUUUUGCUGAGACAAUGCUGUAGUAGAUGAUGACUUUGAAGGUACCUGUCAUUUUCAAACUUUAUAAAAUUAAAGAUUUUUCCCAAAAGUAUUUCACAAUUUGAUCAUCUAUUAUUGGUACAUCAUUUUUCUCUAUCUAUAUUUGGCUCUACAUGAUUAAAAAAAUAAUACUAACAAUAAAAAAAAAACUUGAGAAAACACUUAAUUGGUGUAGAAGAGUAAUCUUAUAAAGAAAAUCUUAUUGCCAAUACAUUAAAGAAUCGUAUAUGGCAAGCCAAAUAGGUAUAAAUAAAAAUAUUUAGGUAAGAAUGCAACAUCAAUUAAAUUUUUCAACGAAACAUAUCCGCAAUCAAUUCUUUCAUCCAUUAAAAAGAUAGAAAAAAUUCUAAAUGAAAGAAAGGAGAUUACAAGCACAUACUUGCUUUCAGUAUUACUUCAAAUUAACAAUAUAAUCAAAAGAUUACAAGCACAUAAUCAACCUCGAUGCACUUGCACAAAUUUUGCAUCCAAAGCUCUGAGGUUAAUCUAUUAAAUAGUUGGCAUCAAACUUGAAUUAAAUUAAAUUAUUAAGCAGUCAAUGAAUCACUGUUUACAGUAAAAUAAAUAUAAAGUUGAAAGAAAUAAAAGAUUAAGUAAAAAAUGAAAAAUAAAAUAGCGUACACAUUUAGAUUUUGUAUGGAGACUACUUGAACUUUUUUCGCUCACUCCAAUACAUUUUCUGAAACAAAGUAUUAAGGAAACGGCAGAGCUUAUGUUACAUCAGCUGUAAGUUACAGCUAUAAAUUUUUGAAUCCUCAAAAAAGUUAAUAAUUAUGAAAAAGUCAAUAAAUUUUAAAGUUUUAUUUUAAACCCCAAACUACACUGCAAUAGUACUUCAAUUUGUUUAAGUUUUUUAUUUAUAUUUACAGCAAAUUCAGUACCAAGUUUUUAUUUUAUUUUAUUGAAUCUCUAACUUGUUUAAUCUUAUAUUUAUUAAUUUUUUAUUUAUUAUAUUAACAAUUUCUUACUUUAAUAUAUCAUUAUCUUCAAUGUGAAGUUUUUUAUUAAUUGUUUAACCUUAUUAAAUUUUUUACUCAUUUGAUCUCCUAACUUUUUAAUUUGUUUGAUGUUUUCUUCAUUAAAAUUAUUAAUUUCUAAUAUUUUGUUUACUUUUUCUAUAUCAUUUAUAAAUAAAUUUGGGUUUCCUAAUUUAUUUAAUAAAUAUAGUAAAAUUCAAUUUAAUUGAUUAUUUUCCUGCAUGUACAAAUCAUUGAUCAGAUUAGAGGAUUAAAAUCUUUCGUAAGAAAAUCCUCUUUGUAUAUAGCUACAAUGUGGUAUCGUUUGCUUUUUCUAAAUCAUUUAUAAAUAAAUUUGAGUUUCCUAAUUUAUUUAAUAAAUAUAGUGAAAAUCAAUUUAAUUGAUUAUUUUCCCACAUAUCUGAAUAAUUGAUCGGAUCAAAGAAUUAAAAUCUUUCAUAAGAAAAUCCUCUUUGUAUGUAGUUAGAAUGUGGUAACUCAAUAAUUUAUAUAUUUUGUAAAAUUAUUAGAGAUUCUAAUGAUUUAUUCAUUGUAACAUCUUUCUAGUAAUUUAUUAGAGUCAUAACAUAUUUAUGACAUAUAAUAUCUCUUAUAAUCCAAGAUGCUAAAUAUAAAUUUUAUAUACAUACAUACAUAUAAUCUAGUUUAUUCUUAGGAGAUAUAAGAAAUUAUAAAUGCAGAUACAAAUAUAUAUUCAAAAUUUGUAAAUAUUUAUGAAUAUGAUAAUUAUUUAGAUCUUUAUAAAAAUAUAGUAAAAACUUUAAAAAAUUUUAAGAAUAAAUGUAGAAGAGAUGGUUAACAAAGUCAUUUAGUUAUACAAAAUAAAUGAGAACUUACUUGAAAAAAUAAACAAAUAUGUGAUUCAAAAUAAAAAAUUUUGUAAAAAACUAUUACACCCAUACCUCGUUUUAGGUUAAAGUUAUUUUCAUUCAUUGGAUUGAAAAAUAUUAAAAUCCAACCACCCAAAUGUACUGACUGUUUGUUACAGUAAAUGUAACAUAAGCUUUGCCUAAGGAAACUCUCUAUACAUUUUUGUUAUCCCAGUACAAAGGAAGAUACGUAUAUUAAUUUUGACUAAACAUACAACAACCACUUGGUGGGGGGGAAGGUUUGUUAAUCUUUAUUUAGUCACUUCCCAGCAAAUCCAACAAUAUUUUGAGCAAACUUUACUACUUUAGCAACCCAAGCUUCAAAAUCGUCCUUUUAAACAACGCAUCAAAGCUACCUAAUAUUUUAUAUUUAAAAUUUUGUAGCUUAACUUAUUAUUAUAUUGGCUGGACUUGAAUAAUUUACUAACUCUUUUUAUUAUAUUAAUACUAGCUAUAAUUUUCUUUAAAAAAAUAAAGAAAGAUGAUUAAUUACAUACCAAGAUGAAGUGAGCAAAAAUUAGAAAGAUCCCAAUUUUCUAGAGUUCUUAUGAAAGAAUAUUAGGAAAAAAAAAUCUAAUAUCAUCAAACCUAAACCCACUGCCCAAAUUGACAAACAAAUUGAUCUUAAUAUCCUAAUUUUGCAAAAGUUUCUCAAAACCUAGUAAACUUUGCUUCAAAUUCCUUCAUUUAUUUGCAUGUAUUUUAUGUUUUUCUUUUACUAGAUUCUAUUAGGAAUUUUAUCAAGCACUUGAUAAGCAUAAAAAUAUUCAAAUAAUAGAUCUAAGAAUUACAAUCCUUAAUUUUCCCAAACACAAAAAUAUGAAUUUCACAUAAUCCAAUCACAACCAAACUAAUCAAAAUUAAAUUGGCUGAGUUUAUAUAUACUCACAAUUUCGAAGUAGAACGAGAGAUGAGAGUGAAUUUGUUGAGUGGCUUAUUUUGGCAUGCGUGAGUGAACUGGUGAGGGUGGCGUGCUUUGAGCGGCGAGCUUUUGAACGGCGGCAAAGGGCGUGAUUCUAGUGGCUUAUGCGGCGGCUAAGGUAGAGUUGCAGUGUUGCCUCCAUAGUCGUGGGUUUUGUUCUGUUAUCAUCAUUCACAAACACACGCACAAAUUGGAAAGGAUUACAAAAGAUAAAGAUGGGUAGUUUUUAAUACAAAAUCAAUUAAAGUGAAGUGGUCAGGGAGAGAGUGGGAGGGAAUUAAAUUGUUUUGUCAUGGAGACGCAUUGUAUGUUGUGACAAAUAUCGACAGGGGAAAAAGGGCGUGGCCUUUUGCUGGUGCUGCUGAAUGGGGCAUGGCUCAUAAAUCUUUAAUACAAAAUCAAUUAAUGUGAAGUGGUCAGGGAGAGAUUGGGAGGGAAUUAAAUUGUUUUGUUUGGAUAACAACAAAA